AGAUGGAAAAUAAAGACAUUAGGGCUCUCCAAUUGGUUCAAAAUGCUGCUGCCAGACUUUUGACAGGAAGCAGAAAGUUUGACCACAUUGCACCCGUUUGGGCGUGUCUUCACUGGAUUCUUGUCCCUGCGAGAUCAGCUUUUAAGGUUCUGUUACUAACCUAUAAAUUAUUCACAGACUAGUCCCU